GAAAUGCGAUAAUUAAUGUGAAUUGCAGAAUUCAGUGAAUCAUCGAGUCUUUGAACGCACAUUGCGCCCCCUGGUAUUCCGGGGGGCAUGCCUGUCCGAGCGUCAUUGCUGCCCUCAAGCACGGCUUGUGUGUUGGGCUUCCGUCCCUGGCAACGGGGACGGGCCCAAAAGGCAGUGGCGGCACCAUGUCUGGUCCUCGAGCGUAUGGGGCUUUGUCACCCGCUCCCGUAGGUCCAGCUGGCAGCUAGCCUCGACCAAUCUUUUUAACCAGGUUGACCUCGGAUCAGGUAGGGAUACCCGCUGAACUUAAGC
rnacentral:misc_RNA from 1 species